UACGGGGGGGGCAAGCGUUGUUCGGAAUUACUGGGCGUAAAGGGCUCGUAGGCGGCCAACUAAGUCGGACGUGAAAUCCCCAGGCUCAACCUGGGAACUGCGUCCGAUACUGGAUGGCUUGAAUUCGGGAGAGGGAUGCAGAAUUCCAGGUGUAGCGGUGAAAUGCGUAGAUAUCGUCUGGAACGCCAAAGGUGAAAACAGACUGCUGGGAGUGUGCUGACGCUGAGACACGAAAGCCAGGGGAGCAAACGGG
rnacentral:rRNA from 1 species